rnacentral:rRNA from 1 species
GGCCAAGUUUUUAAGGGCGCACGGUGGAUGCCUUGGCACCAGGAACCGAUGAAGGACGUGGGAGGCCACGAUAGUCCCCGGGGAGUCGUCAACCAGGCUUUGAUCCGGGGGUUUCCGAAUGGGGAAACCCGGCAGUCGUCAUGGGCUGUCACCCAUACCUGAACACAUAGGGUAUGUGGAGGGAACGCGGGGAAGUGAAACAUCUCAGUACCCGCAGGAAGAGAAAACAACCGUGAUUCCGGGAGUAGUGGCGAGCGAAACCGGAUGAGGCCAAACCGUAUGCGUGUGAGACCCGGCAGGGGUUGCGUAUACGGGGUUGUGGGAUCUCUCUUUCACAGUCUGCCGGCUGUGAGGCGAGUCAGAAACCGUUGAUGUAGGCGAAGGGCAUGCGAAAGGCCCGGCGUAGAGGGUAAGACCCCCGUAGUCGAAACAUCAGCGGCUUGCUUGAGAGACACCCAAGUAGCACGGGGCCCGAGAAAUCCCGUGUGAAUCUGGCGGGACCACCCGCUAAGCCUAAAUAUUCCCUGGUGACCGAUAGCGGAUAGUACCGUGAGGGAAUGGUGAAAAGUACCGCGGGAGCGGAGUGAAAUAGUACCUGAAACCGUGUGCCUACAAGCCGUGGGAGCGUCGGAUGGGAGCUUGCUUCCGUCUCGUGACUGCGUGCCUUUUGAAGAAUGAGCCUGCGAGUUUGCGGUGUGUUGCGAGGUUAACCCGUGUGGGGAAGCCGUAGCGAAAGCGAGUCCGAACAGGGCGGUUCAGUAGCGCGCUCAAGACCCGAAGCGGAGUGAUCUAGCCAUGGGCAGGUUGAAGCGGAGGUAAGACUUCGUGGAGGACCGAACCCACCAGGGUUGAAAACCUGGGGGAUGACCUGUGGUUAGGGGUGAAAGGCCAAUCAAACUCCGUGAUAGCUGGUUCUCCCCGAAAUGCAUUUAGGUGCAGCGUCGUGUGUUUCUUGCCGGAGGUAGAGCACUGGAUAGGCGAUGGGCCCUACCGGGUUACUGACCUUAGCCAAACUCCGAAUGCCGGUAAGUGAGAGCGCGGCAGUGAGACUGUGGGGGAUAAGCUCCAUGGUCGAGAGGGAAACAGCCCAGAGCAUCGACUAAGGCCCCUAAGCGUACGCUAAGUGGGAAAGGAUGUGGAGUCGCACAGACAACCAGGAGGUUGGCUUAGAAGCAGCCACCCUUGAAAGAGUGCGUAAUAGCUCACUGGUCUAGUGAUUCCGCGCCGACAAUGUAGCGGGGCUCAAGCGUACCGCCGAAGUCGUGUCAUUGCAGCAAUACGCCCAACGGCGGCUGUGAUGGGUAGGGGAGCGUCGUGUGCCGGGUGAAGCCGCGCCGGAAGGCAGUGGUGGACGGUUCACGAGUGAGAAUGCAGGCAUGAGUAGCGAUACACACGUGAGAAACGUGUGCGCCGAUUGACUAAGGGUUCCUGGGUCAAGCUGAUCUGCCCAGGGUAAGUCGGGACCUAAGGCGAGGCCGACAGGCGUAGUCGAUGGAUAACCGGUUGAUAUUCCGGUACCCGCUGUGAAGCGUCAGACAUUGAACCAGGCGAUGCUAAGUCCGUGAAGCCGCCCCGGAGCCUUCGGGCAAGGGGGAGUGGUGGAGCCGACGGACCAGACCUGUAGUAGGUGAGUGAUGGGGUGACGCAGGAAGGUAGUCCAUCCCGGGCGGUGGUUGUCCCGGGGUAAGGGUGUAGGCCGUGCGGUAGGUAAAUCCGUCGCACAUCAAGGCUGAGACCUGAUGCCGAGCCGAUUGUGGUGAAGUGGAUGAUCCUAUGCUGUCGAGAAAAGCCUCUAGCGAGUUUCAUGGCGGCCCGUACCCUAAACCGACUCAGGUGGUCAGGUAGAGAAUACCGAGGCGUUCGGGUGAACUAUGGUUAAGGAACUCGGCAAAAUGCCCCCGUAACUUCGGGAGAAGGGGGGCCACGCCUGGUGAGAGGACUUGCUCCUUGAGCUGGGGGUGGCCGCAGAGACCAGCGAGAAGCGACUGUUUACUAAAAACACAGGUCCGUGCGAAGCCGUAAGGCGAUGUAUACGGACUGACGCCUGCCCGGUGCUGGAACGUUAAGGGGACCGGUUAGUCAUGAUUCGUCAUGGCGAAGCUGAGAACUUAAGCGCCAGUAAACGGCGGUGGUAACUAUAACCAUCCUAAGGUAGCGAAAUUCCUUGUCGGGUAAGUUCCGACCUGCACGAAUGGCGUAACGACUUCUCGACUGUCUCAACCAUAGGCCCGGUGAAAUUGCACUACGAGUAAAGAUGCUCGUUUCGCGCAGCAGGACGGAAAGACCCCGGGACCUUUACUACAGUUUGAUAUUGGUGUUCGGUUCGGCUUGUGUAGGAUAGCUGGGAGACUGUGAACUCUGGACGCCAGUUCAGGGGGAGUCGUCGUUGAAAUACCAGUCUGGUCGUGCUGGAUGUCUAACCUGGGUCCGUGAUCCGGAUCAGGGACAGUGUCUGAUGGGUAGUUUAACUGGGGCGGUUGCCUCCUAAAGAGUAACGGAGGCGCCCAAAGGUUCCCUCAGCCUGGUUGGCAAUCAGGUGUUGAGUGUAAGUGCACAAGGGAGCUUGACUGUGAGACCGACGGGUCGAGCAGGGACGAAAGUCGGGACUAGUGAUCCGGCGGUGGCUUGUGGAAGCGCCGUCGCUCAACGGAUAAAAGGUACCCCGGGGAUAACAGGCUGAUCUUCCCCAAGAGUCCAUAUCGACGGGAUGGUUUGGCACCUCGAUGUCGGCUCGUCGCAUCCUGGGGCUGGAGUCGGUCCCAAGGGUUGGGCUGUUCGCCCAUUAAAGCGGUACGCGAGCUGGGUUUAGAACGUCGUGAGACAGUUCGGUCCCUAUCCGCUGUGCGCGUAGGAGUCUUGAGAAGGGCUGUCCCUAGUACGAGAGGACCGGGACGGACGAACCUCUGGUGUGCCAGUUGUCCUGCCAAGGGCAUGGCUGGUUGGCUACGUUCGGGAGGGAUAACCGCUGAAAGCAUCUAAGCGGGAAGCCUGCUUCGAGAUGAGGACUCCCACCAACUUGAUUGGUUAAGGCUCCCAGUAGACGACUGGGUUGAUAGGCCGGAUCUGGAAGCACCGCAAGGUGUGGAGGUGACCGGUACUAAUAGGCCGAGGGCUUGUCCUC